GAGCAAAAUGAGAGAAAUAGAGGUUUUGAAUAAAAACCUUCCAAAAUUCGUAGAGAGAGCUAGAGACCUCCAAAUCACUCCGUUCCAAAGCCAAACUUGUGAGAAAUUUCGAGAGGAAUCCAUUGGUACCAGUAUUUCUGGGUGGGUUUCACUGUAGAGAGAGAUCUUCAUCAUCUAAGAUUUCGAAUUUCAUGGAUAAUGGUGAUUUUGAUGGAGCUUGAGGCCAUGGGAGCUUAGAUACUCAUCUCUCCUUUGUUUUAGAGUGCAUUGUGGUGUACCUACUGUGAACGUUUGGAUUCUCGUGGAGCAUGAUAAGUAGCUUGCUCUUCAAGUAAGCAAACUGUAAAGCUCCAAGAGGAACACAGUUAAUUGAAGAGCCUCAUGGGACAAGGACACUAACCGUGGCUAGAGGUGUACCUACUGUGAACGUUUGGAUUCUCGUGGAGCAUGAUAAGUAGCUUGCUCUUCAAGUAAGCAAACUGUAAAGCUCCAAGAGGAACACAGUUAAUUGAAGAGCCUCAUGGGACAAGGACACUAACCGUGGCUAGAGGUACUAGUAUGAGGAUGUGGAGUUCUGGGUGGUCGGAUGCUACUAUUUGUUUUAGACGUAUUUUUGGAAAAGAUGUAUUGUUGCAUAGUGUUCAUACUCGAUACAUGUACAUUUAUGUAU